GUCACUCUGUAUAGCAUGUAAUAUGUGUUGUAUUCUUUGGUUACUUUCAUAAAAAAAUAAUGUUUUUCUUUUUCUAAAAAUAAUAAAGGAAAAAAUUAAAACAUGGUUUAAAAUCAAAUAUUUAUUAAAUAAAAAUAUCUCAAAAUAAAAUCUAGUAAAUAAAUAAAUAAAACGUAUAUCGUGUCGUUUGUAAGCAUCCCACGCAUGUUAUACUUCUUUUGCUCUCUCUCUCUCUCUCUCUCACACACACACACACACACACACAAACAAACAUUGCUGAGAGGGAGAAACAGGUCGCGGCAUCAGCUCUCGCAAACUCUUUAAACUUUAAACGUUUAACCGGAGCGCGGAGGAGCGGAGCACUUGACGCCGCCUGGAUCUGUGAAGAGCUCUCUGCUCCAUCUUCUGCUGCCUGAGACGUGAACCCCAGAGAGACUCUUAAUGAAUCAGUUUUCGCCGCUCGAUGCCAUGGCGUUCAACCGGCGGCUUUUGUAAUUCUCUCUGAAGGACGGAUCUUCAGGUGUAGUCGAGCGUCGUGGGAUAGUUACAGAGGAAACAUCACGCUGCCGAGGAUCCCGGAGUCUAACAUGGCUCUGAGCGUGUUAGGUAUGUUUCUGGGAUUGCUUCUGGAAGUUUCCACACACGGACCCUCCAGCGUUCCCAGAAGCUCAUGGAGGCAUGACGGUGAGUGAAGGGUUAAAGUUUCUCUUGUCAGAAAUGAAACCUCUGCAGGUGCCACACAUCUGACUUCCUGUGCUUAUAAAACAUGCUUCUGAAUUGUGUGUAUAAAUAUAUAAUUUUUUUUAACAUUGUAUAUUAGAAUGAUUUCUGAAGGAUCAUGUGACACUGAAGACUGGAGUAAUGAUGCUUUGAUCACAGGAAUAAAUUUCAUUUCAACAGAUAUUCA
ensembl:lncRNA